CCUCUCCCUCCCGCGCCCCUCCCUGCCCCGCCGCCGCUCCCCGCACUCGCUCCUCCUCCCACGCAGCCGCCUCUCUCCCUCGCUCGCUCCUCAUCUGGCGACAGCGGCGGCGGCGGCGGCUCCCGCGCCCGCAUUCUUCCUCCUACCAACCACGGCGCUCCUCCCCAUCGCCAUGGACGAGCUUGAGCUCCAGGUGCUCCUUCUCUGCCCAGAAGCCCAAGGGCGUUGCGGGGCGGCAAGGGGCUCAGCCUCAACCCGCCAACCCUAGCUGCCCCCACGCUGCCGUCGGCUCCUUCUCCCGGCCUGCCGGAUCCCGUCGUCCGCAUCCCCGGCGUCGUCGCCGUCGCCGUCGUCCUCGCGUGCACUCGGCAGGAGAAGUGCGGCUCUCCUCUUAGCCCGUCUCAGUUCUCUCUUGCUCUCUCAGUCCCCUUUCUGCCGGGUUCUUGCCACUGAUGCGCCACCUCCUGGUUCAUCAUGAAGGUAUUGCAUGAUAGGUGCUCGAUAAAUUGUGAGGGCGGGCUAAUGAGUAGUUUCUUAAUGGUUGGGCCUGCGAUGGCAUCGAUUAAGUCUGUGUUGACAAGACCAGCUGGGUUUGCGAUGACUAGGUUGUUAGCACAGUCUCCUGGAUGCAAUGCUCCUCUUGUUUCUUCUUAUCUUACCAAUGGAUUUGUUUGGGCUAAGAAAAUGCACUCUCUCUGGAUCUGUGAUGCCACCACUUUCUGCUAUCAAGUAGUGGUUCUUACAUGUUUUCCGUAUGUCAAAUUGUGCCAUAUGUGACCUUUUGCUUCACCGUAGUAUUAAUUAAUGUAAGAUGCAGAUUUUUAGAAAUAUCAAUGAUUGUGUGAUGCUUAAUUAGGCCUGAAACAUUUAUCUUGCCAAAUUUCUGUGCAUAUGGCGACCUCUCCGACCUUUUCUACUAGGAGAUGAUGCUGGUUCUGAAAUUAUGAUCAUAUAUUUAUGAAGUUCUUUUUUUUCUUGAGCGCGUGUUCUUUUUAUUUUGCCAUAUGUGACCUUUUGCUUCAUCGUAGUAUUAAUUAAUGUAAGAUGCAGAUUUUUAGAAAUAUCAAGGAUUGUGUGAUGCUUAAUUAGGCAUGAAACAUUUAUCUUGCCAAAUUUCUGUGCAUAUGGGGACCUCUCCGACCUUUUCUACUAGGAGACUAUGCUGGUUCUGAAAUUAUGAUCAUAUAUUUAUGAAGUUCUUUUUUUCUUGAACUCGUGUUCUUUUUAUUUUGUCGAUCAGGUACUUCAUGGCAGCGCUGUGGACAGCAUCACCGUAACCACAUUGAUGGUCCAAGUCCUAGCUCACAACAUCACUUUUUAGUUCUGCUGUGAGCACCUCAACAGCUCAACGUCAGCUAUUAUUGAUGUAGCUGCAUAUAGUCAUUCUAUGAUCUAUUUUGGCUACCAUCAUUUUUAGGUUGUUAUGCUGGUUUUCUCUAAGCUUGAAAUAUACGUAGCCUAUAUAUCUACAAAAAGGGAUCAAGAACUAUAUGUGGGCUACUCAUUAUAGUCGCUGUCGAUAUUAACUCUUUUGCAUGUUUGCAUCUGAAUCAAUCAUCUGCUCUCUACUAAAUGUAUGUGAGCUACUCAUUUGGUUAUAUAUGAGCUACUCAUUUGGUUAUACUGUGUAAAUAGGAAUCAAUAAUAAAAGUAGAUGGUACAAAGUUGUGCCCCUAGCUUUUUUCCCAUUGGUCUUGCUAAGCAAGUUAAUGUAUAUCUUCAUUUAUAUAGCAUCUCUACCGUUCCAAUAUGUUUAGCUAUAUAUGUUCACUUGGUCCCUUAGUUACUUCCUCGGCCCUCUUGGCUGCCACCGAAUAGAUUUUUAUAUUUUUGUAUAUCUUGCUCAGCGUCCUAUGCUCCAUAUACGCUUUCCUAUAUAUUUAUAAAUUUUCAUCUGCAUUAAAGUGAUACAUAUAUGUGAUGAUUUCUGACUUGACUUAUGCUAGGAUUAAUCCUGCAGCAAUCGGUAUAGUCAGUGUUGUCUGGAUGUGUUGUACCAUAUUAGAUUAUGUGUUCUGCCCAGCAGGGAUUAUUUAUCGAUGCUUCUUGGUGUAUCUAGAGAGUCUGAUUAGAGAGAAGUCAGUUCACAUCUCAGUGGCUUUUGUUGUUUAAUUUACACAACAUAUGCAGGUUCAUAUAGCAGUAUGCAUGUGUGAAUAUAAACUCUUCAUGCAAUGUGGCAGUAAAAGGCCUUUCGAUUUUACCUUAGGCACUACAGGCAGCUAAUAGAUAGGCCCAUUGCUUGCAUGAUGAUAAGUUUUGAACUGACGGUGUUCUUGACAAUAGUUGCAUCAGUGCACACGAGGUCCAAAGAAGCAUUGUUUCAUGUUUCAUUUACUUUUCUAUUGCAAUCACUCAUCCAAAAAGAAUAUUCAGUGCACCUGUAAAACAUCUAACAAAAAUAAUCAUAGACCCUUCUUUCUAAAUCAGAAUAUAACAGUACUAAAUCAGCUAGAUGGGUUGUAGAUGCUUUGUUACUCAAUGAUAGGAAAAAAUGUUAGCUGCGCUCUUGACCUACCUACCAGCUACUGACCGCCCUAUCCAUUUCCCUCUCCAAGUUAAUAUACUUUCUUUGUUGGCCCAAGACACAAAGCAAGUUCUGCGUUUGUUGUGUUCAUUCGUUCCUGAUCAACGAUUUUCUUUUCCAGAUGACCCAUUUGGUUUCCGCUCCGUUACUUUCUACUUUGCUGAUAGAAAUUGAAGGAUCUGCGUGUUUGUAAUCUUAGAACUUUCGGUCAUUUUAGAACUUUCGGUCAUUUGUAAUCUCUCCAUGGCGCUUGCCGCUCUGACAGCGAUUUUGAAACAAUUAUUACCUGAUAAAAGAUGAAAGUAGAAUGCUUAUGUUAUUUAAUUUUGUCCGUUCAUGCUUAUCCUUUUGGGUACUUCUGAAGGAACUUUUGGGUUGUUUCCUACCCACUAAUAUUAUUUAUCAGAAAAUUCUUUAUUGAAAUCUUGAAUAAGGGAACUAUAAUAAUGCAGAUAAAUAAGAUUUUUUUUCUUAUUUUACAAACAGGUGCAUGUUAUGAUUAUUGUGUUGGGGUGCAAGGCGCAACUCCGACGUGGUUCCUCACCGGUUGGACGGCGUUCAGGCGCAACCCCGGCGCCCACUGAGUACUGCCUCGGCUACAACCUCCCCCGGUGAGAUCCAUCUUCCUCCUGCUCCUCUGCUUCGGCAACUGCAUGGGACAUGGCCGUGGCUAUAUUGAUGUUGUGCUCUUCUCAUUGAUGCUCUAUGGCCUACUCAUGCAUCGGUUCCUACUCGGGCUCUGUAGUUGUCGAUCCAUGCUAUUAUAGGGUUUGCAGGUUGCUAUUAGUGAUCAGUUGCUAUCAUAGGAGCUCCUGUGAUGCUCUGGUUUACAUGUGGAUGCCCUGGUCCUAUAGCUGUGCUCCUGGAUUUGCUUGAUUGAUCAGUGGCGUUCGUGCUAGGGCGAUGAUGAUUAACCGUGGCUGAAAUAAGUGUGCCUUUGAGCGAUCGAGGUACCUGUCGGUAUCAAGUUGGAUCCUCCCUCUUGUCUCUAGAAUCCUUUUUGAUAUUGUGAUACUUGUUGUUCUGUCCUUGGAUGGUCAUUCUUGUUGAGUGAUAACCAGGACAGAUCCACUGUAUCCCAUCCCCUUGUUAGAGUCUGAAGCAAAAUGGAGCUCUCCCGUUCGUUUGGAUUCUCGACCGUUCGAUUGUCUGUCCAAACGAAUCCCGGCCAUCCGAUCUUCAGAUGAAACAAUCUGGACCGUUGGAUCUCAGACAGGGCCGGUCUCGUCCGUCGGGUCGAAAACGAGACCGCUGCAAUGCCCUGGUCGCGCCACCGCGCGUGAAUAGCAUGCCCCGCCGAUGUCGUUCUUGUCAUUUCAUCCAUAGGCGUAUAAAACCAGCACGCCCAUGGUGACCCUAGCUGCCUCUCUCUUCCUCCCGCCCCUCACGCCACCACCCUACCUCCUGUUCAUGCUCAGUUGCUAUCAUAGGAGCUCCUGUGAUGCUCUGGUUUACAUGUGGAUGCCCUGGUCGUAUAGCUAUGCUCCUGGAUUUGCUAGAUCGAUUAGUGGCGUUCGUGCUAGGGCGAUGCUGAUUAACCGUGGCUGAAAUAGGUGUGCCUUUAAGCAAUCGAGGCACCUGUGGGUAUCAAGUUGGAUCCUUCCUCUUGUCUCUAGACUCCUUUUUGAUCCUGUGAUACCUAUUGAUCUGUCCUUGGAUGGUCAUUCUUGUUGAGUGAUAACCAGGGCGGCUCCAUUGUAUAAACAGAUUAGUGUGGUGAUAAGAGAUGAGGCGGGUAGGUUAUAUGAUCGAGGAAAGCUGAAUCUGAGCCCACUAUGCAAUGAACCCUGAACCCUUUUUAUUUGUAUUUAAAGGUGUUGCUUAUUUAUGCUCCAGUGUUUAUAGCCGUCUUAUGUAAGGAUUUCUUCUCUCUCAUACCUUUAUUGCAUAUGAGUUGUUCUUGAUCUUUUAUUGUUUGUUGGGGGCUUUCUUGUUUUGUUGGGGGCUUUCUUGUUUUGUUGGUGCCUUACCGCCAAGCAGAUCCUUGGAUUUAGCUAGGUUAUCUGUUUCAUUGCUUGGUUUUUUGCCUGUUAAAGAGAAGCUUAGGUCUAUAUGGAUUCCUGAGGUAAUAUCCAUUGUUUCUCAUAGUUUAGUUACAACUGAUUUCCGAGUUCUAACUCCUUCAUGUUAUUUCAUUAUUUCUCCUCUUUGUACCGCUAUUUAUUUCAAAUUCUGAAAUAAGGACGGCCUUGGUGGCUGUAUUUACUUGCGCUUUGUUUAUAUAUGAUUGGUAUUAGAUUCUUUGAGAAAAUUUGUUGUUACAUUAGUGGUCUAGCUAGAUUGCAAGAAAGGGGCUGUAUCUUCCCUUUCGGUGCUCAGCGGGAGGAGUGCGCUCGCCGCCGGCCCUGACGAGAGGUGUCGCCGCCCUGGUCAGAUUUGGCCGCCUCCACCACCACCCACUUACAGGAGGCCCCUGCCACUCCUCCUCCAUCGCAUGGUCAUCACUGGGAGGAGCAGCAGCUCUGCCUAGAGGCAUCGCCAUCGGCUAGAGGGCGUCGGACUCUCGUCCUUGCGUUCAUGCACCUCCGGGAAGAAGACCCGAGGUAAGCAGCCUCCAAUUUGCCGUGCGAAUUGAGCAGGGUUGGAUCCAAGAGGCAGAGAUGCAGUCCUCCAGAGCUGUUGGGAAGAAGAAGAAGAAGAAGAAGAAGAAUUGCAAAGGAUGGCGAGAUUGAGCGUCUGAAGUAAAGCUCAGACCUGCACAUGUCCAAGUGUCAGUCGCUUGAAUUGAUUAGGCAGAGGGACAUAGAUAUAAGAGAGAAGGAUGGUGUCAUUCAGAGCUACCAUUAUAAGACAGAUGGGGAGCUGAUGAACCCAGGGUCCUGACAGAUAUACCUCAUCUUCCCAACGGACAACACCUUCCUCGAGGAGGACGACUCCAACUACUUCAGCUAUCUCGGCUGUCCUGGCCUUUUAUGAAAGAUGAAUCAAUGAUUUAUGUCAGCACAAGCUACCGGCAGCUUCCUCGCGUGCAAUGCUAUUUGAAGACCAUUCAGGUGAUUUAAAAGAGAAGAUGUCCAGAAUGUCUAAGAAGAUUGAAGAUGAUGAUCAAAAGAUUGACAUAUUAAGCGAUUGCCAAGAUGUGAAUAAUGCUUGCCCCUGCCUUUAGUAAUACCUUGCUCUUCUUUAUGAAAUCUUUCCUAUUACAUAUUGAUGCAACAACUUGCAAAUUUUGAUAUCCCUAUUUACAUACAUUACUCAGCGGCUGACCUGUAUAGAGUUGCGUGGCAGGCAUGUGUGUUGGGGAACGUAGUAAUUUCAAAAAAAUUCCUACGCACAC